GUUACCGGUCCUAUGAGUUAAUAGGGAAUCCAGUGCAAAUCUGGAGCUGACGCGCAGCGGUAAGGAAAAGUGGGAUGAGCGCAUAGUGCAGACACUGCGGUUAUUUAGCGGGAAGUCCUCAUCCAUUAAACACCCCAAGCCCGAAGACCUGCCGGAAUACG
rnacentral:ncRNA from 1 species